rnacentral:rRNA from 1 species
UGGGGAAUCUUGCGCAAUGGGCGACAGCCUGACGCAGCAACGCCGCGUGGGGGAAGAAGGCUUUCGGGUCGUAAACCCCUUUCAGGAGGGACGAAGCUUCGGGAGUGAAUAGCUCUCCGGAGUGACGGUACCUCCACAAGAAGCCCCGGCUAACUACGUGCCAGCAGCCGCGGUAAUACGUAGGGGGCUAGCGUUGUCCGGAAUCAUUGGGCGUAAAGAGCGCGUAGGCGGCCAGAUAAGUCCGGUGUGAAAGUCACAGGCUCAACCUGUGAAUGCCGCUGGAAACUGUCUGGCUAGAGUCCGGGAGGGGCGAGUGGAAUUCCUGGUGUAGCGGUGAAAUGCGCAGAUAUCAGGAGGAACACCAAUGGCGAAGGCAGCUCGCUGGAACGGUACUGACGCUGAGGCGCGAAAGCGUGGGGAGCAAACAGG